GGAGAAGGGAACGCGAGGGGAACGCGAGGGGAACGCGGGAGCUGCUCAGACUCAGGCAGCGCCCCGCACGCUCCCUCAGGGUCACCCCACACCGCUCUUCCAGGAUCGCCCCACAGCCCUCCUGUGACACCUCGAUCCUCCUCCAGGGACAACCUGCACACUUCCCCAGGGUCACCUGAGCUCGAGGGCUGGUGACUUGGAAACCUUGGAAACCAGUCCGGCAGGACCCACCCGGACCUGCUGUUGGGCGGCCGCAUUCCAGGCCUGUGCCAUCACUUGGGAAAGAGGGUGCGGGCCUGCCUGGGCUCCAGGGGUGGGCGGGUGGCCGGCCCCCGGCUGCAUACGCACAACCAAAUUCUGCCUGCGAGAAACUCGGGUUGUGAGUCUCACAAAGCUCACUACCUGCGAGGCGAGGGCGCACCCGCGACACUCCAGUCCUGGACAGCCCUGUGCCCCGCGCUGCCCACGGUGGAACCCAGAAAGGCGCUGGGUCCACGCCAGUUCCAGAGCAGGUCCCGAAGAGGUGCUAGUUCUCUGGACACGGGUCCUCCACCUGGUCUCUACUGACACAGUGACACACACACGGACAGAGGCCUUCCUGCACACGGGACAGCACGCAGACCAGCGCCCUUACAGAAACAGAACCCUGAGGACAAAGUGGUGGAGAGAGAAGCAGGACAGGCAGAGGUGGCUUCAACUCAUUCACAGAGGAAAAGUGUCUCUCUUCUCCAACUGCAGCACCCACUAUGAAGGACGUGACAGCAAGACAAGGUAAGAUUGACACCAAGGAUCUUGACUAGGAGGACUACAAAGCUGGGGCUCCCUUGGAGAGAUGGAGGCUGCUCCCAGUGCCAAAAUAAUUUGCUGUUCUAACAGUUCCUUAAACACAAACAGUGUCUCUUUCAAGGAAGAAGUUAAAAACAGACUGUAACAGCCCAAUUUCUCCAUAACAACCUAGUUUCCAUCUGUUUACCAGCAAACGUUUUCUUCUUGAGCCUGCGAGUCAGAAGAAAAGAUUGAACUCACCUGAGUAUCUUUUUCUGCAUAAAGGAGAAACAAAAAUAAGAAUGAUUGGCCUCUGGAAUUGGGAUUUCCACUUUCACUGCCCUGCUGGCUGAUCUUCAGCCACAACCAGAAACAAUCUUGCAGAUCCUUAUCUAGGCCAAGAACCAAAGUCCCCAAAUCAGCUGCACCAGCAGUGACAGGGAAGGAAGAACAGCAGCCCUGGGGUUAUUGUUCCAUUG
ensembl:lncRNA